rnacentral:tRNA from 1 species
CGGUGGGUUCCCGCGGCCAAGGGAGCAGACUGUAAAUCACCGUCGUCGAAGGUUCGAAUCCUUCCCCACCACCACCA